rnacentral:rRNA from 1 species
UACCAGCACCCCGAGUGGUCGGGACGUUUAUUGGGCCUAAAGCAUCCGUAGCCGGUUCUACAAGUCUUCCGUUAAAUCCACCUGCUUAACAGAUGGGCUGCGGAAGAUACUAUAGAGCUAGGAGGCGGGAGAGGCAAGCGGUACUCGAUGGGUAGGGGUAAAAUCCGUUGAUCCAUUGAAGACCACCAGUGGCGAAGGCGGCUCACUGGUCCGGUACUGACGCUGAGGUGCGAAAGCGUGGGGAGCAAACAGG